rnacentral:rRNA from 1 species
UACGGAGGAUGCAAGCGUUAUCCGGAAUGAUUGGGCGUAAAGCGUCCGCAGGUGGCAAUGUAAGUCUGCUGUCAAAGCGUCUGGCUCAACCAGAUACAGGCAGUGGAAACUACAUAGCUAGAGUAAGGUAGGGGUAGAGGGAAUUCCUGGUGUAGCGGUGAAAUGCGUAGAGAUCAGGAAGAACACCAGUGGCGAAGGCGCUCUGCUAGGCCGUAACUGACACUGAGGGACGAAAGCUAGGGGAGCGAAUGGG